UACGGAGGGGGCUAGCGUUGUUCGGAAUUACUGGGCGUAAAGCGCGCGUAGGCGGACCUGCAAGUCGGGGGUGAAAGCCCGAGGCUCAACCUCGGAACUGCCUUCGAUACUGCGGGUCUCGAGUCCGGGAGAGGUGAGUGGAAUUCCUAGUGUAGAGGUGAAAUUCGUAGAUACUAGGAAGAACACCAGUGGCGAAGGCGGCUCACUGGCCCGGUACUGACGCUGAGGCGCGAAAGCGUGGGGAGCAAACAGGG
rnacentral:rRNA from 1 species